UACGGAGGGUGCGAGCGUUGUCCGGAUUUAUUGGGUUUAAAGGGUGCGUAGGCGGCCCUGUAAGUCAGUGGUGAAAUACUGCAGCUUAACUGUAGCAUUGCCAUUGAUACUGUAGGGCUUGAGUACAGAUGAGGUAGGCGGAAUUGAUGGUGUAGCGGUGAAAUGCAUAGAUACCAUCAAGAACACCGAUUGCGAAGGCAGCUUACUAAGCUGUAACUGACGCUGAGGCACGAAAGCGUGGGGAUCGAACAGG
rnacentral:rRNA from 1 species